GGCACAAUGGCUUAGUGGUUAGCACAUUUGCCUCACAACUCCAGGGUUGGUGGAUUCGAUUCCCACCUCUGCCC